rnacentral:rRNA from 1 species
UACGGGGGGAGCAAGCGUUGUUCGGAUUUACUGGGCGUAAAGGGCGCGUAGGCGGUCAGCACAAGUCAGUUGUGAAAUCUCCGGGCUUAACUCGGAAAGGUCAACUGAUACUGUGCGACUAGAGUGCGGAAGGGGCAACUGGAAUUCUCGGUGUAGCGGUGAAAUGCGUAGAUAUCAGGAGGAACACCGAUGGCGAAGGCAGGUCUCUGGGCUGACACUGACGCUCAUGCACGAAAGCGUGGGGAGCAAACAGG